UCGGCGGCAUCCGAAUACAAGGCACAAUUUUUAGGGAUGGUUCUCUCACCCAUGGAUAAAAUGAUAUGGAAGGCUUGGGCUCCUCCAAAGAUCAAGUUCUUUGAUUGGUUGGCUCUACAAGAUAGAGUUUGGACCGCCGAUAGAUUGGCGAAACGUGGGUGGCCCAACUGUGGUCUUUGCCCUCUCUGUAAGAGAGUGCAAGAAUGUGAGUCUCAUCUCUUCUUCAAAUGCCGCUACACUCGAAGGCUUUGGUCUUUGAUCAUUGACAGGUACCACAUUAUCGGACUUGACGUCUCCGGUUGGCCCUUGUUCGACUCGGUUGAGGCUUGA
rnacentral:rRNA from 1 species